GCUGGGCGCGGUGGCUCACGCCUGUAAUCCCAGCACUUUGGGAGGCUGAGGCAGGCGGAUCACCUGAGGUCAGGAGUUUGAGGCCAGCCUGGCCAACAUGGUGAAAUCCUGUCUCUA
ensembl:misc_RNA Metazoa_SRP Metazoan signal recognition particle RNA